AUUGAACGCUGGCGGCAGGCCUAACACAUGCAAGUCGAGCGACCGGCGGACGGGUGCGUCAUGUAUGGGGAACUGCCCGAUGGGGGUGACUAACUACUGGAAACGGUGGCUAAUACCGCAUACAGUCAGAUUUACCCCUAUGGGAUUAGCUAGUAGGUUAGGUAACGGCUCACCUAGGCGACGAGCCCUAGCUGGUCUGAGAGGAUGAUCAGCCACACUGGAACUGAGACACGGCCCAGACUCCUACGGGAGGCAGCAGUGGGGAAUAUUGCACAAUGGGCGAAAGCCUGAUGCAGCCAUGCCGCGUGUAUGAAGAAGGCCUUAGGGUUGUAAAGUACUUUCAGUGGGGAGGCGUUACCGACAGAAGAAGCACCGGCUAACUCCGUGCCAGCCGCCGCGGUAAUAC
rnacentral:rRNA from 1 species